rnacentral:rRNA from 1 species
GACGAACGCUGGCGGCGUGCUUAACACAUGCAAGUCGAACGGAAAGGCCCUGCUUUUGUGGGGUGCUCGAGUGGCGAACGGGUGAGUAACACGUGAGUAACCUGCCCUUGACUUUGGGAUAACUUCAGGAAACUGGGGCUAAUACCGGAUAGGAGCUCCUGCUGCAUGGUGGGGGUUGGAAAGUUUCGGCGGUUGGGGAUGGACUCGCAGCUUAUCAGCUUGUUGGUGGGGUAGUGGCUUACCAAGGCUUUGACGGGUAGCCGGCCUGAGAGGGUGACCGGCCACAUUGGGACUGAGAUACGGCCCAGACUCCUACGGGAGGCAGCAGUGGGGAAUAUUGCACAAUGGGCGGAAGCCUGAUGCAGCAACGCCGCGUGCGGGAUGACGGCCUUCGGGUUGUAAACCGCUUUCGCCUGUGACGAAGCGUGAGUGACGGUAAUGGGUAAAGAAGCACCGGCUAACUACGUGC